AUUGAACGCUGGCGGCAUGCCUUACACAUGCAAGUCGAACGGCAGCAUGAUCUAGCUUGCUAGAUUGAUGGCGAGUGGCGAACGGGUGAGUAAUACACCGGAACGUGCCCUGUAGUGGGGGAUAACUAGUCGAAAGAUUAGCUAAUACCGCAUACGACCUGAGGGUGAAAGUGGGGGACCGCAAGGCCUCAUGCUAUAGGAGCGGCCGAUGUCUGAUUAGCUAGUUGGUGAGGUAAAGGCUCACCAAGGCGACGAUCAGUAGCUGGUCUGAGAGGACGAUCAGCCACACUGGGACUGAGACACGGCCCAGACUCCUACGGGAGGCAGCAGUGGGGAAUUUUGGACAAUGGGGGCAACCCUGAUCCAGCAAUGCCGCGUGUGUGAAGAAGGCCUUCGGGUUGUAAAGCACUUUUGUCCGGAAAGAAAUCGCACUUACUAAUAUUAGGUGUGGAUGACGGCACCGGAAGAAUAAGGACCGGCUAACUACGUGCCAGCCGCCGCGGUAACAC
rnacentral:rRNA from 1 species